CAUGGAGGGGCUGAGCGAGAACCGGCCGCUCCUAUACAGCCUCAUGGGAGCCUUUGGUCUCAUCCUCGCUCUCUCCCUCGGCAUCUUCCCGGACUUUGGGAGGCAGUUUGAGAUCGUCGAGUUCCCGAGUGAGUUCCGGGUGACCCUCAUACAAGUUCUGUGCCUGGACUUCGCGCUGUCGUUCGUCAUAGAUAGAGUCUGCCUAGCAUUCUUAGGGGAGGGCAAGUUGGCACCCUCCCUGCGGCACUGAGAGAGAGAGAGAGAGAGAGAGAGAGAGAGAGAGAGAGAGAGAGAGAGAGAGAGAGAGAGAGAGAGAGAGAGAGAGAGAGAGAGAGAGAGAGAGAGAGAGAGAGAGA